GGGGCCGACUUGGUUUCGACAGGGGUUGCAAAGCGGAACAGGGCAUGCCGAGGACUGGUUACCUCGUUAAUCCAUCCGGAACUGCUUAAAUGCAAACGACGAAUCUUACGCUCUCGCAGCGUAAAUCGCACCUAGAAACCUAAGAAACUUCUAGCUCUACAGCACUUCUUCCCUGGGGUGUGCUGGCAACAGCGGUAGAGUCAUUUACAGGGAAUCGUGGCGUAUCGGGUUACUUGAUACGUCAUUAAAUCCAAGGUAACUCGUCCUGUCGAAGCGUGUGCGUCCGCGUCGCCAGGAUUAAAACCAAUUGGCUGCACUACGCAUGUAGAACUGUCUGUAGAGUGCUUCUGGACGCGGGUUCAAUUCCCGCCGGCUCCACCA
rfam:Herbaspirillum seropedicae SmR1, complete genome.